UUGAAGAGUUUGAUCAUGGCUCAGAUUGAACGCUGGCGGCAGGCCUAACACAUGCAAGUCGAGCGGUAGCACAGAGAGCUUGCUCUCGGGUGACGAGCGGCGGACGGGUGAGUAAUGUCUGGGAAACUGCCUGAUGGAGGGGGAUAACUACUGGAAACGGUAGCUAAUACCGCAUAACGUCGCAAGACCAAAGUGGGGGACCUUCGGGCCUCAUGCCAUCAGAUGUGCCCAGAUGGGAUUAGCUAGUAGGUGGGGUAACGGCUCACCUAGGCGACGAUCCCUAGCUGGUCUGAGAGGAUGACCAGCCACACUGGAACUGAGACACGGUCCAGACUCCUACGGGAGGCAGCAGUGGGGAAUAUUGCACAAUGGGCGCAAGCCUGAUGCAGCCAUGCCGCGUGUGUGAAGAAGGCCUUCGGGUUGUAAAGCACUUUCAGCGGGGAGGAAGGCGGUGAGGUUAAUAACCUCACCGAUUGACGUUACCCGCAGAAGAAGCACCGGCUAACUCCGUGCCAGCAGCCGCGGUAAUACGGAGGGUGCAAGCGUUAAUCGGAAUUACUGGGCGUAAAGCGCACGCAGGCGGUCUGUCAAGUCGGAUGUGAAAUCCCCGGGCUCAACCUGGGAACUGCAUUCGAAACUGGCAGGCUAGAGUCUUGUAGAGGGGGGUAGAAUUCCAGGUGUAGCGGUGAAAUGCGUAGAGAUCUGGAGGAAUACCGGUGGCGAAGGCGGCCCCCUGGACAAAGACUGACGCUCAGGUGCGAAAGCGUGGGGAGCAAACAGGAUUAGAUACCCUGGUAGUCCACGCCGUAAACGAUGUCGAUUUGGAGGUUGUGCCCUUGAGGCGUGGCUUCCGGAGCUAACGCGUUAAAUCGACCGCCUGGGGAGUACGGCCGCAAGGUUAAAACUCAAAUGAAUUGACGGGGGCCCGCACAAGCGGUGGAGCAUGUGGUUUAAUUCGAUGCAACGCGAAGAACCUUACCUGGUCUUGACAUCCACAGAACUUUCCAGAGAUGGAUUGGUGCCUUCGGGAACUGUGAGACAGGUGCUGCAUGGCUGUCGUCAGCUCGUGUUGUGAAAUGUUGGGUUAAGUCCCGCAACGAGCGCAACCCUUAUCCUUUGUUGCCAGCGGUUAGGCCGGGAACUCAAAGGAGACUGCCAGUGAUAAACUGGAGGAAGGUGGGGAUGACGUCAAGUCAUCAUGGCCCUUACGACCAGGGCUACACACGUGCUACAAUGGCAUAUACAAAGAGAAGCGACCUCGCGAGAGCAAGCGGACCUCAUAAAGUAUGUCGUAGUCCGGAUUGGAGUCUGCAACUCGACUCCAUGAAGUCGGAAUCGCUAGUAAUCGUAGAUCAGAAUGCUACGGUGAAUACGUUCCCGGGCCUUGUACACACCGCCCGUCACACCAUGGGAGUGGGUUGCAAAAGAAGUAGCUUAACCUUCGGGAGGGCGCUUACCACUUUGUGAUUCAUGACUGGGGUGAAGUCGUAACAAGGUAACCGUAGGGGAACCUGCGGUUGGAUCACCUCCUU
rnacentral:rRNA from 1 species